UACGUAUGGUGCAAGCGUUAUCCGGAUUUACUGGGCGUAAAGGGAGCGCAGGCGGCGCGCCAAGUCUGAUGUGAAACCCCGGGGCUCAACCCCGGGCAUGCAUUGGAAACUGGCGGCUGGAGUGCCGGAGAGGUAAGCGGAAUUCCUAGUGUAGCGGUGAAAUGCGUAGAUAUUAGGAGGAACACCAGUGGCGAAGGCGACUUACUGGACGGCAACUGACGCUGAGGCUCGAAAGCGUGGGGAGCAAACAGG
rnacentral:rRNA from 1 species